GAUGAAGAACGCAGCGAAAUGCGAUAAGUAAUGCGAAUUGCAGAAUUUCCGUGAGUCAUCGAAUCUUUGAACGCACAUUGCGCCCACUGGUAUUCCGGUGGGCAUGCCUGUCCGAGCGUCAUUACUAUCUUCAAGCACAGCUUGGUUGUUGAGCCCAAUUGUCCUCUAAUGGACAGGCUUGAAAUGCAGCGGCGAUGCCAUGUUUGGUGCCCGAGUGUAUGGGGCUUUGUCACACACUUUUGUGGCCCAGCUGGCGUUGUCUUUUAAAGUACUUAAUAACUAAGAUUUGACCUCGGAUCAGGUAGGGAUACCCGCUGAACUUAAGCAUAUCAAUAAGCGGAGGA
rnacentral:misc_RNA from 1 species